UACGAAGGGGGCUAGCGUUGCUCGGAAUCACUGGGCGUAAAGCGCACGUAGGCGGAUUGUUAAGUCAGGGGUGAAAUCCUGGAGCUCAACUCCAGAACUGCCUUUGAUACUGAAGAUCUUGAGUUCGGGAGAGGUGAGUGGAACUGCGAGUGUAGAGGUGAAAUUCGUAGAUAUUCGCAAGAACACCAGUGGCGAAGGCGGCUCACUGGCCCGGUACUGACGCUGAGGCACGAAAGCGUGGGGAGCAAACAGG
rnacentral:rRNA from 1 species